GGACUACAGGGGUAUCUAAUCCCGUUUGCUCCCCACGCUUUCGCUCCUCAGCGUCAGGAAUAUCCCAGACAGUCGCCUUCGCCACUGGUAUUCCUCCCGAUAUCUACGCAUUUCACCGCUACACCGGGAAUUCUACUAUCCUCUGAUACCCUCAAGAAACGCAGUAUCUGAAAAAGCCCCAAAGUUGAGCCUUGAGAUUUCCUUCCAGACUUACGCUCCCGCCUACGAGCUCUUUACGCCCAGUAAUUCCGGACAACGCUUGCUCCCUACGUCUUACCGCGGCUGCUGGCAC
rnacentral:rRNA from 1 species